UACGUAGGGCGCAAGCGUUGUCCGGAAUUAUUGGGCGUAAAGAGCUCGUAGGCGGUUUGUCGCGUCUGCUGUGAAAACUCGAGGCUCAACCUCGAGCUGUCGGUGGAAACCGUGUGGCUAGAGUCCGGAAGAGGAGAGUGGAAUUCCCGGUGUAGCGGUGAAAUGCGCAGAUAUCGGGAAGAACACCCGUGGCGAAGGCGGCUCUCUGGGACGGUACUGACGCUGAGGAGCGAAAGCGUGGGGAGCGAACAGG
rnacentral:rRNA from 1 species